CGGAGAGUGGCGCAGUUGGCUAGCGCACACGCAUGGGGUGCGUGGGGUCGCGGGUUCAAGUCCCGCCUCUCCGA
rnacentral:tRNA from 1 species